rnacentral:lncRNA from 1 species
AUCUCGAUCAGAUAUCAUGUUGUUUUGACAUGGUAUCAAAGCCUUACGUUCCUGAUUCGCCGUCUUCCGCACUUGUAUUUGAGGAUUCAUUACGGUGGUCGAAGGUUAGAGGAUCUUGAAGAACUCGUGUCUAUAGGUGAAGGAUGCGGGCCCAGUCGUCGGAUCAUUAACACCGUCAAAUAAGCAAGAUUACAGAGUCUCCUUUCAUCUGCCGUUUUCUAAAUAACCCUGUUGGUGAUUGGUUGUGUUUCUUGAAACAUGAAGAUACCCGAAGAUAGGGUGCAC